rnacentral:rRNA from 1 species
UGGCGGCGUGCUUAACACAAUGCAAGUCGAACGGAGAUUCGGCAAUGGAUCUUAGUGGCGAACGGGUGAGUAACGCGUAGGCAAUCGUGCCUUCUAGGAUGGGGACAACAUCCCGAAAGGGGUGCUAAUACCGUAAUGGUUGUAGUUGGUUACGCAUGGACUAGCUACUAAAGGUGGCCUACUGAAGUAUGCUACCGCUAGAAGAUGAGCCUGCGUCUGAUUAGCUAGUUGGAGGGGUAACGGCCCACCAAGGCUUCGAUCAGUAGCCGGUCUGAGAGGAUGAACGGCCACACUGGGACUGAGACACGGCCCAGACUCCUACGGGAGGCAGCAGUGGGAAUCUUCCGCAAUGGACGAAAGUCUGACGGAGCAACGCCGCGUGAAGUGAAGAAGGUUUUCGGAUCGUAAAGCUCUUUCGUCAGGGUACGAACGUAUUUCUUGUAAAUAAUGAGAGAUAGUGACGGUACCUGAAUAAGAAGCCACGGCUAACUACGUGCCAGCCGCCGC